UACGUAGGGGGCUAGCGUUGUCCGGAUUUAUUGGGCGUAAAGAGCGUGUAGGCGGCCAGGUAGGUCUGCUGUGAAAACUCGAGGCUCAACCUCGAGACGUCGGCGGAAACCAUCUGGCUAGAGUCCGGAAGAGGAGAGUGGAAUUCCUGGUGUAGCGGUGAAAUGCGCAGAUAUCAGGAAGAACACCCGUGGCGAAGGCGGCUCUCUGGGACGGUACUGACGCUGAGACGCGAAAGCGUGGGGAGUGAACAGG
rnacentral:rRNA from 1 species